rnacentral:rRNA from 1 species
GCAUGAACGCUGGCGGUAUGCUUAACACAUGCAAGUCGAACGAAAUACGAUGGGGUUUACUCUAUCGUAUGGCAGUGGCGGACGGGUGCGUAACGCGUAAGAACUUACCUUUUGGCGAGGGACAACCGCGGGAAACUGCGGCUAAUACCUCAUAGAGCUGAGGAGCGAAAGGUGAAAACCACCAAAAGAGAGGCUUGCGUCUGAUUAGCUAGUUGGUGAGGGUAAUGGCCUCCCAAGGCGACGAUCAGUAGCUGGUCUGAGAGGAUGAUCAGCCACACUGGAACUGAGACACGGUCCAGACUCCUACGGGAGGCAGCAGUGAGGAAUUUUCCGCAAUGGGCGAAAGCCUGACGGAGCAAUACCGCGUGGAGGAGGAAGGCCCGUGGGUCAUAAACUCCUUUUCUCAGAGAAGAACACAAUGACGGUAUCUGAGGAAUAAGCAUCGGCUAACUCCGUGC